rnacentral:tRNA from 1 species
CCAGCGGUGGCAGAACGGUUUAUGCGCUGGUCUGUAAAACCAGUUUAAGUAGGUUCGACCCCUACCCGCUGGA